rnacentral:rRNA from 1 species
UACGAGUGCCUCAAGCGUUAUCCGGAAUCAUUGGGCGUAAAGGAUGUGUAGGUGGUCACGUUAGUCUCUCGUUAAAUUCUUCGGCUUAACCGGGGGCAUGCGGGGGAAACGGCGUGACUUGAGGGUGCAAGGGGUCUGCGGAACUCUAGGUGUAGCGGUGAAAUGCGUUGAUAUCUAGGGGAACACCAAAAGCGAAGGCAGCAGACUGGGGCAUUCCUGACACUGAAACAUGAAAGCGUGGGUAGCGAAUGGG